UGGAAAUAUGACCGAGCAACACGCCAAUGUGAUGACGAGCAAUCGCCUUGUAUUAAGAUCUGUACCUUCAGCCCUCUGAACCGUUCGAUUCCCGGUCGUUCCAGAAGCUUUUCAUAAAGCAAAUUGCCUUGACCUCUUUGGCCUUAUAGUAUCUCUUCGUGCCUGCCACACGAUACACACAUGCACAUGCAAAAUAAUAAUUAGCAGAGAAAGCUAUCAGUUUAUAACUGUGGAAGUACUCAUAGAAAACUUAACUGAGAAGCAGGCUUUGUCUCAGUGAGGACGUUACGCCAAGAAGAAGCAGAUCUUUUAUAUGGCUUUGGGACAGAAGGUCGAAGGACAAAUGGUCGAAGGACAAAAGGUCGAAGGACAAAAGGUCGAAUGGACAUAAGGUCGAAGGGACAAAAGGUCGAAUGGGACAAAAGGUCGAAUUUUAGUAGACCAAUUUACCAGCUGGUAUUUCUCGCUUAUAAGACAAACAUUUUUGAGAAGUCUUUGUUGCCGCUCAUUGAAAGAAACAUUGUAGUGCUGUUAUAGAAAUCAUAUGCAUUUCAGUCACUAACAUUUCCAUAGGAAAUUUUUCCUUCUUUUGUUUGUAGGCUGUUCUUUCAAGUUCUGUUAAUGUAGUAUUUAUUUAAUGGCAAUUUAGUUUGGCUUUUUGUUCAGGAAUUUUUCCUUCUUAAAUUUAUAGGCUGUUAUUUUAACUUUUGUUAGUGAAAUAAUUAUUGACUCCUUAGGGACUUAUUUUUCAAUCAGAAAUUUUGCCUUCUUCUUUUCAAUAUCUGUUCAUUCUAACUGUACUGCAGAAACAUUCAUUAACUACUUGUGCUUAGUGAUCAUCCCCUUUUGGAUAGAUAGGUAGAUCCUAAUAAUUAUCCUGUAUAAGAAAAAAAAUCAUUUUGUUUGCUCAUACAGGCGUUACGCCAAAAAUUGAGAAUUUUCGAUCCCCCUCUCCCUGUCCUAUACUAACUAUAUUGCUUGUUACACUUUUGCAAACCACCCUCCCCCUAUAAUCGUGACAUACUUCAUGGAUCAUCCCUAUAAUACCCAGAGAUUUGUCCUUUUCUAAUUUAUAGACUGCUUGACUUUAUUUAAUCGCAUUAAUGAUUGGAAUUUCAAAUGAGAAUAUUCCGAUCUAUGAUUCAUCCUUCUUCAACCCAUAGGCUGUUCUUUCAAGGAAUCAGAGAUGGCAUGCUCCUCAGUGCGAAACGUGUGAAGAGAAAACAUACACUCUACACACGACUUUCAACGAGAGCGAGGGUGAACUACGCAACUUUUUUCACACACAAACCACC